GGUCUGAGAGGAUGAUCAGUCACACUGGAACUGAGACACGGUCCAGACUCCUACGGGAGGCAGCAGUGGGGAAUAUUGGACAAUGGGCGAAAGCCUGAUCCAGCCAUGCCGCGUGUGUGAAGAAGGUCUUCGGAUUGUAAAGCACUUUAAGUUGGGAGGAAGGGCAGUAAGUUAAUACCUUGCUGUUUUGACGUUACCAACAGAAUAAGCACCGGCUUACUUCGUGCCAGCAGCCGCGGUAAUACGAAGGGUGCAAGCGUUAAUCGGAAUUACUGGGCGUAAAGCGCGCGUAGGUGGUUCAGCAAGUUGGAUGUGAAAUCCCCGGGCUCAACCUGGGAACUGCAUCCAAAACUA
rnacentral:rRNA from 2 species